CCCACCAAUUCCGGACACACCUGGAAUUCUUUGGAAGGCUGAAGCAAGAGGAUCAUUUGAGGCCAGGAGUUUGAGAAAUUCUAUGUGAUAUAAAGCAGAUGCAUAAAAUUUGCCCACAUCUGCAACUUACUUAUAAAAUGUUUUUUUCAAGAGACUGGAACUUCUAGUGCAUAAAUACAGUUUGGGUUUAAAAACCCAGAAUCCUGAAAAAAAUGGCUCUACUUAAAAAACGACUGUUUUUGGUAGUUGAACAGUAAUUUAAAGGGCUCUUCAGUGACGUUAGAAAUCAUUAAAUCCAAUUCUUUCCUUUUAAAUGUAAGGAAGCUGUUGAAGAAAAGUCCCAUGCUGUGUUUUAUGUUUUGAAGCCGAGGCCAAAUGUGGAGAUGGCAUAACCAGAAGAGGGAACGAACUGGCCUGGAUGUGACUCAUGCUUGGAAGGGAGCUGUCUGGAAGGACCACAGUACCUGCAGCCAACUUUGUUGUACUUCUUGUUCUUGGCAGAUCCUCAUUCCUACUGGAUAUCUGUUGCACGCCAAUUAUCUUAGGCUACAGCUGUUUACUGACAGCUGUUCUCUCUACUGCCCACCAGGCAGCCACCCUUUUGUGGCAAUCCAUGCCUCUGCCUCCCAAGUGGGGCUGCUUUGGCCGGGGCUUCACCCUUAGCUCAGGCACAGAGCUUCUGAUCUAAAUCAAUCCAAAGCUUGCAUUUCCAGCAAAAGUAUCAUUUCUUCUCAUUGGCUAUGAAUGAGGCUUCCAUUCAUCAGUCAUUUUUCUGGGGACUUCUGAGGGAAAGAUUCUUUCUCUGUCCUGCUAGAUUUUUACCUGAGGGAAUGUGAGGCCCAAAGUUGCUGCAGCCAUCUUGACAUCUUCAGUGGGAGCCAGUCUGAGAACAGAGGUGAGAGAGAGAGAGGGAGAGAGAGAGAGAAGCAGACCCUCGUGAUACAUUUCAACCUUUAAGCCAAGAUAGCAGCAAGCCCUAUUUCCAGACUUUUCAGUUACAUAAUCAAGUAAAUUUGCUGCUUUGUUUAAGCAUCUUUCUCUUUCCCUCUCACCUUCUGUCAUGGGAUGACUCAGCAAGAAGGCCCUUGCAAGAUGCUGACACCUUGAUAUUGGACUUCCUAGCCUUCAGAACUGUGAAGAAUAAAUUUCUUUUCUUUAUAAGUUGCCUAGUCGCUGGUAUUCCCUUAUAGCAGCACAAAAUGGACUAAGACGGGCACGAUAGAUUGACCUGGCUGUGUGACUGCAAUCUCUGGGCUUGGCUGAGGGCCAUUUGUGCCUGGAAUUGGAGGACACUGUGAAGACAUUGUCCAUUUCAGAAAGGCUUUGUUCCUAAGUCAGUGCCUCUGGCCUUCUCCACAGUGACCUUUGCCACACUCCACCCCAGGGGUCCACAUUCUUGUCAAAGGGUGAGAAAUCUUUUGUGACUGGCCAUGAUGAUGCCAUUGUAACACAGGUGGCCAAUCAGUUUAUACAUCUGUUUAUCCCCUUAAACAGGUCAUUUAUUUUCAUGCACAAUUGAAACUGUAAGUCAAACUCUGCUUCUUUAUGGUGGUAAAUAGUACGUUGAUUAUGCUAAAGAAAGAUUAUUAUCGUAAGUGAACACCUGUGUCUUGUAUCACAGUGGUACUACAUCAGGGAAACCUGGUGGUCUGUUUUAUUUAUUUAUUUACUUAUUCAAGAGACAGGAUCUCAUUCUGUCACACAGGCUGGAGUGCAGUAGCACAAUUGUAGCUCAUUGCUCUAACUCCUAUGCUCAAACAAUCCUCCUGCCUCAAUCUCUCAAG
rnacentral:lncRNA from 1 species